GAGAGAAGGAGCCUCCCUCGGCCGUAGGGAUGGGGGCUGCCCUGUAAUUCAGGGAGCGAGCGUGCCCCGUAGUCCCGGGCCCUUUGCAAUGGAGGCAGUGGCUGGGGGUCCCCUGUAAGCAGGGAAGCAGACUCCUUCGGCUGCUGCUUUUUGUGUGCCCAGCUCCAUUUGCCCAGUCUGCCCGCCUCUGUGAUCCCCCGCAGCACCGACUGGAAGACCACCGUGAGUCAGAGAGGAGCUGCUGCAGAAGAAAGAAGAGGCACAGGGACCUGGAGGCAGGAGAGAGCAAGAAGUUAUUGCUGUUAACUGUCAAUUUGUUUGUAGUAAACUCAGUUGUCAUGUGUGUUUUGCUUGUUAGCUCCUUAUUGUUGCCAUGGUCCUUUGAGAAUAAAAUUUGUUUGCUUGGUUUUUAUAAUGA